GAUGAAGAACGCAGCGAAAUGCGAUAAGUAAUGUGAAUUGCAGAAUUCAGUGAAUCAUCGAAUCUUUGAACGCACAUUGCGCCCAUUAGUAUUCUAGUGGGCAUGCCUGUUCGAGCGUCAUUAAUUCCACUUAAGCCCUGCUUAGUGUUGGGAAUCUACUCUAGUUGUGCUACCCUGGAGCUACCCCUGAAAGGGGGCUGGCCCGGUAGCUACCCUGUAGUUCCUCAAAGAUAGUGCGCGGAGUUGCGUGGUCCUCUGAGCUUAGUAACUAUACACCUAGCUUUUGAGUGUCCCGCGGCGCCUGCCGUUUAAACCCCAUCUUUUAAUGGUUGACCUCGGAUCAGGUAGGAAUACCCGCUGAACUUAAGCAUAUCAAUAAGCGGAGGA
rnacentral:misc_RNA from 1 species